GACGAACGCUGGCGGCGUGCCUAAUACAUGCAAGUCGAGCGGACUUGAUGGAGUGCUUGCACUCUUGAUAGUUAGCGGCGGACGGGUGAGUAACACGUAGGUAACCUGCCUGUAAGACUGGGAUAACAUUCGGAAACGGAUGCUAAUACCGGAUAAACGGUUUGAUCGCAUGAUCGAACUGGGAAAGAUGGAGCAAUCUAUCACUUACAGAUGGACCUGCGGCGCAUUAGCUAGUUGGUGAGGUAACGGCUCACCAAGGCGACGAUGCGUAGCCGACCUGAGAGGGUGAUCGGCCACACUGGGACUGAGACACGGCCCAGACUCCUACGGGAGGCAG
rnacentral:rRNA from 1 species